ensembl:ncRNA K11H3.9 ncRNA
AAAAUAGAAAAAGAAUUCGCAGUCAGCAGGAUUCGAACCUACGCGGGCAGAGCCCAUUUGAUUUCGAGUCAAACUCCUUAACCACUCGGACAUGACUGCGUGCCGAAUACUCGACGAAAGAGGAAUAGAGAAAGCGGACGCGGGGUCAUGUGC